CUCGUAGCUUGCUAUGAGAACAGUUAGUGGCAGACGGGUGAGUAAUGCAUAGGAAUCUACCUAGUAGUAUAGGAUAGCCACUAGAAGUGGUGGGUAAUACUGUAUAAUCCCUGCGGGGGAAAGAUUUAUCGCUACAUGAUGAGCCUAUGUUAGAUUAGCUAGUUGGUGGGGUAAUGGCCUACCAAGGCAGUGAUCUAUAGCUGGUCUGAGAGGAUGAUCAGCCACACUGGAACUGAGACACGGUCCAGACUCCUACGGGAGGCAGCAGUGGGGAAUAUUGGACAAUGGGCGCAAGCCUGAUCCAGCUAUGCCGCGUGAGUGGGGAAGGCCUUAGGGUUGUAAAACUCUUUCAGUGGGGAAGAUAAUGACGGUACCCACAGAAGAAGUCCCGGCAAACUCCGUGCCAGCAGCCGCGGUAAUACGGAGGGGGCAAGCGUUGUUCGGAAUUAUUGGGCGUAAAGGGCAUGUAGGUGGUUUGGUUAGUUAAAGGUGAAAUGCCAGGGCUUAACCCUGGAGCUGCUUUUAAUACUGCCAGACUGGAGUCCGGGAGA
rnacentral:rRNA from 1 species